rnacentral:rRNA from 1 species
CUGGCGGCGUGCCUAACACAUGCAAGUCGAGCGAGGAGAUCCUCGGGAUGAUCCUAGCGGCGGACGGGUGAGUAACACGUGGGCAACCUGCCUCAUAGAGAGGAAUAGCCUUCCGAAAGGGAGAUUAAUACCUCAUAACAUUGCAGUUUCGCAUGGAACAGCAAUUAAAGGAGUAAUCCGCUAUGAGAUGGGCCCGCGGCGCAUUAGCUAGUUGGUGAGGUAACGGCUCACCAAGGCGACGAUGCGUAGCCGACCUGAGAGGGUGAUCGGCCACAUUGGGACUGAGACACGGCCCAGACUCCUACGGGAGGCAGCAGUGGGGAAUAUUGCACAAUGGGGGAAACCCUGAUGCAAGCAACGCCGCGUGAGUGAUGACGGCCUUCGGGUUGUAAAGCUCUGUCUUCAGGGACGAUAAUGACGGUACCUGAGGAGGAAGCCACGGCUAACUACGUGCCAGCAGCGGC